rnacentral:rRNA from 1 species
UACGAAGGGGACUAGCGUUGUUCGGAUUUACUGGGCGUAAAGGGCGCGUAGGCGGCCUUCUAAGUCAUGCGUGAAAUCCCCGGGCUCAACCCGGGAACUGCGUCUGAUACUGGAAGGCUUGAAUCCGGGAGAGGGAUGUGGAAUUCCAGGUGUAGCGGUGAAAUGCGUAGAUAUCUGGAGGAACACCGGUGGCGAAGGCGGCAUCCUGGACCGGUAUUGACGCUGAGGCGCGAAAGCGUGGGGAGCAAACAGG